UACGUAGGGUGCAAGCGUUGUCCGGAAUUAUUGGGCGUAAAGAGCUCGUAGGCGGUCUGUCGCGUCUGCUGUGAAAACUCGGGGCUUAACCCCGGGCCUGCAGUGGGUACGGGCAGACUAGAGUGCGGUAGGGGAGACUGGAAUUCCUGGUGUAGCGGUGAAAUGCGCAGAUAUCAGGAGGAACACCGGUGGCGAAGGCGGGCCUCUGGGCCGUAACUGACGCUGAGACACGAAAGCGUGGGUAGCAAACAGG
rnacentral:rRNA from 1 species